rnacentral:misc_RNA from 1 species
GUGAAUCAUCGAAUUUUUGAACGCAAAUUGCACUCUCCUCGGAGAGUAUGCCUGUUUGAGGGUCAGCCUAUAAAAAUCGACAUCGUUGCUGUUUCGCGGUGGCGUUCGUCGGGAAGUGGGUCAUCUUAAAUCCUUUUGAUUGAGCGACUUUAAAUUUUCUUUUUGUUCCAUUAAUGUUUCUUAGAUCUUUUUUUUUACACGUUUAAGGUAUUGGUUUUUACUUUACGUGAUCAUCAAUUCCGA